GCACCUUCUAUAGUUUAGUAGAAAAUACCAACUUAGCUUGCUUUAGUUGUAAGUCUGUAUGAGGCGUGUGACGAUAGUGCUGCAUCUGGAGUACCAGUACGAGAACAGAAUUCCCCCCACCUUCACUUACAGUCUCCAGUCCUUUUACUUAGAGACUCUGGAGCUCUGAAAGAUAAACAGAACAAUCAAUUGAGAAACCUGUCGCCAUAGAAAACAAGCAAUGAAACAAUAACAUGCAGAAAUGAAAACCAAAACCAAAACAAAACCCACCACCAACAACAAAAAAACACCUUAAAUGUAGGAACUUCAGAGGGAGACAAGGACAUGCUCAGCACCUUGAGGACUGGUCUUGAAGAGAGCAAUCAAGCAGGCUUGGUGUGCAUCAGCAAGAGAAGAGCUGGGGAACUGAUUUCUGCCAACAACAGAAAGUGUGUUUGAGGACUUCUCCCAUGGCUCUUCCACUGAUGCUGUAUCUGAGUGUCUACAGAGGAGUAUUUGGGAUGAGGACAGUUGGAGGUGGGAGUAUGAGUGGGCUGCUUGGGGUAUUUUGGUACAUUUAAUUGGUUGUUAAAUGGUUAAUGAAGUCAGGGUUAACAUCAUACAAUGUCCCUAAAGGCAAUGAGGAACUACUCAUUUUCUGCCCCUGAAAGGAGGAUGAACCAUUACUAUAAAAUUCAAGGUCUUUCAUACAAGCAUGAGCAAUUAACGUUAAUCAUUCAAAAUCUCACGUGCUCAUGAUCACACUGAUGCAUCCUUGUUCCUUAUGUAUGUGCUGACAAGGAAUUAGAUAUUCAUCAUCAGCAAAUAAAACUGAGAGGAAUGAAUGGGGUUUCCAAGGAGCUGCCUCUUCAAGGUGUUGCAUCUUCAGGCUGAGAUACAAAUACCAGCUUUUUAUAAUGCAGAUCACAAUAUAGCUCCUAAUUUUCCAUCCGAGAUGCUUAAAUGCUUCCUGCUGUCUUAGUCAUUAAUAAAAUAAAUUAACUUUACCUAUAAAUAAAUUUAAAAGUUUAAAUCUUAAUGAGGUCAUAGAGAUGGAAAUAAAGGAGUUAUAUGUAUCCAUAAACCUGGGGACUGUUGUGCACUUAUAGCAAUACAGGUUUUCAUGCUCCAAAAAGUAAGAAUCAUCUUCUUUCUCUGAGAGUUGAAGUUCAGGACUAGAACUGUCUACCCAAAUCAUGAUGGCAUGCUUGUGUAUGACCUCUUCCAAAUUUCUUCCUAGUCUAUGUGUGAGUGUCCAGGCUAAUCCUUGGUUACAAACUGCUUUUGAGUUGUUUGAGGGAUCCCCCAAAGUUCCAUGCAUUGCUGUCAGGACUUUAGCCAGGCUGAAAUAACAUGAACGUUUUUCCUUUUCUGGUUUUCUAGAAAAAUUAAUCUUCGACCUUUCUUGGCCCAGUUCAUUUUAGUAAAGGAUCUGCACACUGAGCUAUGAAUUUCAUUUUGCAAUGAAAAAGAAAAAUGAAAGAGUGGCAGCACUGAUUCCUGUUGAAAAACAAAAGCACCCUACUUGUGGCUGCUCCUUUGGAUUUAUUCCUCCAAGGAGCAAAUAAUUCCAUGUGGAUGCCAUUGCAGCUUCAUUUUUGUUUUAAGAGAAGACAAAGGAUUUUGCUACAGAGAUGAUACUUUGACAAUAGACAAUAAAUGAGAUCUUGAUCCCAUCUGAAAAGUGACAACCUUUUCUCUUCUGCUAAAGCUUGACUCCCUUCUAUUUGUAGAAUAAAUGUGUCAUGGGGCAGUGGUGCAGCUGUUAGUUAUUUGGGUGUUGAAAUUUCAGGGGUGGUCAAAAAAUGGAGAGAAAAAUUGGGAAUGAGAGUCCAGAGGCAUUGUGCUUGAGAGAUAACUGUAAGAGAUGGAUUUAUUUUGGAAGAUGGUGUCUCGCUUUAGAAAUGAACCUGUCCACCUGAAGAAAAUGUUCCUUCUAAAAAUAAUAGACCUAGUGUGUCUUUUGAAUGUACCUUCCUCCAAAAUGACAAAGCAGCCCAUGGAAAGCAAUGUUUCUGUUUCCAUUGAAUUGGUUCUCUGUAGUGUUUUUUUUCCAUCUGCACAGAGCUGGAGGAGACUCCUGCUACCAUGUCCCUUCUCACAGGUGUUCCUCAGCAUAGGAAGAUUUCAUUUUAAAAGGCAAAUCCCUCCAAACAAUCCUCCCCCAGGUAAAACAGAAACUCUUUUUGUUAAAUUGCCUUUCAUGCGAUGUCAGCCAGUGACUGCAGAGGCUAGCAGAGCCUUGCCUUUUCUCCUCUGUUAUGCUGUGGAAUUGUGAAAGGUUAAACAUCUGCAUGUCUUUGGUGUAAUUAGAAAGUGAUGGGACAAUGUCUUCUCCCUCCGCUGGACCUCUCUUCCUACCAGCUGCCAGUGAGCCUCCCUGCAUGGCUCAGCCAAACCCCAGACAGGGAGAAGGGGCAAAAAAUGUAUGAAGCCUAUUAAUUACCAUAUGUAUAAAGGAAAGUUUACUGCUCUGUGCUCAGUCCCAAGGACACAUUGGGAAUCUCCACUGGUCUGAAUCAGACACAGUUCAUCUGAUUCGAGUGCUUAGUGCCAGGGAUUAAAGAAUGUGAGCUGAGCCGGGGCAGAUGAACGUGCAUGUGAAGCUCAGAGCUGGGUGGAUUAGGGGCAAUUGGAUCAGUAUGACCAGGCCACUGAGAUGCAACAGUGGUCCAGACGGCAGGGUCUUUCAGUCAAAAAGAAGGGAUGAAAAUAUUUCUAGCAACAUCAGCUGGGUGUUUUGUCUUGGAAGAGAAUCUCCAAGGGGCUGAAAGUGGAGAUAGAGCCCUUUGUGCUGAGGACAUAAGGGUCUGAAUGCAUCUUUAUCCAUUGCUUUUAAUAAAGUAGUUUGAGAGAGAUUCAGGAAGUAGAAGACACAUAAUGCAUGAAUAGAUAUGACAAUGAUAUAAUGUUUUUUCUUUUUUUCCUUUUUUUUUUUUUUUUAUUUCUGGAGGCUACCAUAAAUUUCAUGCCAGAGGAAGGGACCAGGGAGAAUGAUGCAAUGCUGCACAGUGAAAUAAACAAACAAAAACUGCGACAGUGGCAGCUUUUCAACCCCAUUUUGUAUCUGUAAUGUGUUUAUGAUCCAGCUUUGCUCAGGGAAAUGCAGGGAUCAAUUCCACUUUUUUUUUUUGUGCUCCAUUAUUCUUUGAUUUUCCUGCACCAACACAGGAAUGUCAUUCUUCAGCUUUGUAAAGUAGAAAUUACUUUCUUCCUCACAGAGCGCUGUUAAACCCAGAGAUGGGAAUUAUGCAGUAUAGGAUCUAUCCCAUUCUUUAGCAAAUGUAAUUUAAAAAUCUAAUCAACUGUUGACCUGGUUUGUUCGCAUUAAGCUUUGACAAAACAUUUUGUAGGCUAAAUGCAAUGCUGUUGAGAGAUCACGAAUGUGCAGAAGGUUGUUGAAUUGAGGUUUGGAUCUCUGAUACAAACGUUGCACUAAAAUUAAUGUUUGGCUGAGAUGCAGGCUCAGACAGGGUUUUUGAGGAUGAAUUUUGUAGCGCUCAGGUUUUGAGAAAUGUGAAAGAGUUCGUUUUUUUUUUUCUUUUUUCUCUUAUUUUUCUCCAGUCAGCCCCUUGCGUGAGUUGCUUUGAUGAAACUUGGCAGAUACAUAAAACUUGCAGAGAUCUCUUUCCUGAUAUUCUAUGUCACAGGGCAUUGUCACAGUGUCAGUAAAGAACAGAGCUUGUAGAGGCUACAAAUAUGGAAAGGGGUUGUGUGUUUCUUUUUCCGUGUCU